AUUGUGGUUGAUCAGUCCCAGCUAUCCUUCUUCUCCAUCUCGAGCCAUUUUUGCAUGUAUACUGGUCAGUACGUAAUCGUUCUGACGCCCUUUUCACCUGAAGUAUCUGAAGCUUUGCCUACUGGCUUGAACACUCAAUCUGCACACUUUAAGCAACUGUUUUGCAGAUAUAAUCAAUUAUGCAUAUCAUACUGACCAGUAACCAAGGCCUAGAAUACGACUUAUCAGUGUACUUCAGAUUUUGUUCUUAAAAAAAUCCAGAAAAACUAUAAAACUAAAAAUAAAAAAAAGAAGAGAAAUGUCAGGACUCUUGUUUGUAUAUACCUUUUUUUCAAAAGUUUGCUUUAGUAAGUUUUCUUUGAUCCUUUAUUCUGGUUUGGGCAACUGUUUAUAUCUAGGAUAAUGUGGGCUUACAAAUUGGAAAUAAACAUGACAGAGGAGAAGAAGAGAGGCAUGGAAAUCUUAAGUGGCUGAAAGAAGCCUUUGGAGAGCACAAGUCCAGGAAGUUUCUCUCAUCUUUCUCAUUUUGUGGUUAUACUUAUUUUAUGCAUUGAUCUUUAGAUAUAAAGUCUUAAAGUCUAGUUUGUAAAUAUUUUCCUUGAUUUUAGUUCGGUAAAAAGGACUUUCUUAGAAAAUCCAAAAACAUUUAAUAAACAUGAAAAUCAACAAAAAGAUUUUGAAGUUUUUUGUAAAUACCUUUGUCAGUUAGGCUUAUUUCUUAAAAAACAUUGAAAAACUAAAAAAACAGCAAAACAUGUUUGUAUAUAUUUUGAUUUAGUUUAGUUUGUUUUAGUAAGUUUUUUUAAAAAGAAAAAAGCUCAAAAUAGAAUAAGUGUAUUUCUUGAUUGUUUUGCUAGCCUAUACAAGUUCAGUUUGAAUCCCUCUUGAAUUGAGGUUACUAAGUAAAACAUGUUUAAACAAAGUAGGCUACACAAAGCAUUCAAGUUUCUUGUAAACACUUUUUUCCCUUUUCUGCCUUAGUUAGUUUUGGGGGUUAUUGAGAAAAUGUGCUUAAUUAUGUGAGAAUUUGCAAGGGAAAUAGAGUUUUUGGCAAAGACAAAUUUCAGUUUUGGGCUAAUUCUUUUACCAAAAUUUUGUUUCCCUUUGCAAUUUCAUAUUUUCCCCCACUAACUUUAGAGUUAUUUUGGUUUGCACUAAUCCCUCUUCUCUUCUUUAUGUUACAAUGUUGUGGAGUGAAAAUGCCAAAAGAGUAGAAGAAGGAGAUUAAAUGAGAGGGUUGUCUUGGAUAAGAAAAAUUGAGGUGCAUGGGAGUAAGAUGAUAGAGCAGAAGUUGGAGGAGGAGAAAUCCACCAAGGCUGCAGAGGAGCCAGCUAAAUCUAAAGAGGACCAGCAGACCGCGGUCUCAAGCCAACUGACUCCGAACCAGCUACCUCUGAGCCAAGAGAGAGAGCCCAUACUUAACCCUGACCCUGGACCACACUUCCUGAGGAUGGUGUGAUUAAAAUGGCUACAACAGCACAGCAGGCUUCCCACUCAAGGAAAAGAGAUUGAACUGCCCAAUCCAUGAUAUGCCUAAGACGAAACGUGCAGAAGCUGCCCUGCCUAGCGCACCCGAAAAUUGAAGAAAUAUAAGUGGAAGCAUCGGAGAGCAAUGAUAGCUAAAUGUGGAGCAAAAAAACCAUAAAAAAAGAAAAUUGAAGGACUAAUCUGCAAUUUGCAAAGAAAGGAAGGAUUGAAGACUCAUUUCAUAGGAGUCUUGUGACCUAGCUCAAGAAGGAGCCGCCACUUAAAAAAAAGAAAAAAAGGAGGGCAGAUUCAGAGAGGAUCCCACGCAGAAUUCACAUCAUCUCACACCAUAAUGGAGAGAAUUUUCUUAGACAAUGGUUGAAGAUUCAUUUCAUGCUGCUACUGUUUGCAAAGGAUUUUUGCUGCAAUUCAGAAACUAUGGGAUAGAAGACACUCAUUUUAUUGCUUUAUUUUACUUCAUUGUUCGACUACUGCAGUUAUUUCUGGGAAUUUCAGCUCUUAUUUUAGCUUAGUGCAGAUUUAGUUUUCCCUUUAGCUUUGUUUCCUGCCAUUUUCCAACUCUUCUCCAGAUUGCAUAAUGGUGUUUAGAUAAUUGAUAGCUACCGUUCCAUUAGUUCAGUUUCUUUUCGAA